AUUGAACGCUGGCGGCAGGCCUAACACAUGCAAGUCGAACGGUAACAGAAAGCAGCUUGCUGCUUUGCUGACGAGUGGCGGACGGGUGAGUAAUGUCUGGGAAACUGCCUGAUGGAGGGGGAUAACUACUGGAAACGGUAGCUAAUACCGCAUAACGUCGCAAGACCAAAGAGGGGGACCUUCGGGCCUCCUGCCAUCGGAUGUGCCCAGAUGGGAUUAGCUAGUAGGUGGGGUAACGGCUCACCUAGGCGACGAUCCCUAGCUGGUCUGAGAGGAUGACCAGCCACACUGGAACUGAGACACGGUCCAGACUCCUACGGGAGGCAGCAGUGGGGAAUAUUGCACAAUGGGCGCAAGCCUGAUGCAGCCAUGCCGCGUGUAUGAAGAAGGCCUUCGGGUUGUAAAGUACUUUCAGCGGGGAGGAAGGGAGUAAAGUUAAUACCUUUGCUCAUUGACGUUACCCGCAGAAGAAGCACCGGCUAACUCCGUG
rnacentral:rRNA from 1 species